ensembl:lncRNA
CAGGACUCCAUGAAUCACACACAGUUUGAUCAUUUGCAGAUGUUAACACAAGUAAGCAGUCACAUAUUGUUCAAAAUCACCUCUAGCACAAGUAAGCAGUCUUAUAUUGCUCACAAUGGUCUGCUUUGUGCUCAUUUUUAUUUGUUUGGAUGAUUGUUGAUCAAACAUUUUCCUUUUUUUUUUCUUUUUUGACUUGAUAGAAUGUUUAUUGCAGAUAGCAUGUCAGGUAUCCCAGGCUGGCCUCAAACUUGCUGUAUAGUGGAAAGUAACAUUGAGCUUGCAAUGUUCUGGCUUCACCUCCUUAAGUGCUAGGAUUACAAACAUGUGCACCAUACCUUGUUUAAUGUGGUGAGGACUGAACCUAAGGCUUCAUGCAUGCAAGGCAAGCACUCUACCAACAACUACGUCUCAAACCUCAAGCUGUCUCUGUGCUGGGUUCUCAUCCUACUGCCCCAUAAAACUAUAAAGAUGGGAUUUUAACAUUUGGGAAAAAAAAAAGGUUUUAAACACUGGAGGCUGGGGAUUGUGUCUGUAAGCCCAGCACUUUGGAAGCCAAGGCAAGUUCAAGGCCAGUCUGAGUUACAUAGUGAGGCCUUCUUUCAAAUAUUUUUAUUUUAAAAUCAUGUGAUUUUUAAAAAAUGUUGUGUAGGCCAUCACCUUGAACAAAACUCCCCUCCCUAUCUCUGUCCUUCAAGCUAAAAAGAAAGAAAAAAGAAAAAAAGCAAGAUAAGAGAGGACAUUCUGUACCUAAUGCAGAGUGUUCUUUCCAACAGGCCUCCAUCCCUCCUCCGGGCUCCGCUCUGGGCAUCCAGAGGAGAAAGACUUUGAAGUCCUCAGGGGACUUGCAAGCAGAAGUGGGGGAAAGGGUACCACAAAUGGAGAUGAAAUCUGUCUUUACUUUCCUGAUGUUCCUGAGCUUCAAAGCCAGAGCCAUGAGCCAUGGAAAGGCGGAGUUGGAAAGGACGCCGUCUCUGAUGUGACAUUCUAUGCUCAAAAAUGCCUUUUCCUGGCCUCUUUGUGUGACUUUAGUUGGAUACCAGUAACAGCUGCUUUCAAGGUCAAGUCUGGAAUGUUCCAAGGCACUGGACAUGAGACAUUCAAGAGCCUGGAGAAGAGGCAAACUUUGUCUGUGCAAGGCCAGAGACAAGUACUCUGGUGUUGUGGAUCAUACUCUGUAUAGUCCUGAACAGUUGGAGGCAAACAGGUUCCACUGUGGUAUCUGCAGUGGGCAUUUCAUCAGAAUGGCUCAAGAUGAAAAUGUAAACACUGCUGGCGGAAUUCUGGCAGAAGACCUUUGAAUGAAGCAAGAUGUCUUGGUACACAUUCAUCAUCCCAGGACUUGGGUGAUGGAGGUAAAAGGAUUUCAAGUUUGAAGCUGGCCUGGUCUACAUAGCAAGAGUCUGUCUCAAGAAAUCAAAAUCAACCAGCCAAGCAUGUUUUAUAUUUCCCCAAAAGGGAAAAACAUCUACCAAGAGUUCUGUCUUUCUUUUCCCUCUCAGUUACCCCCUCGAUGUGUGUGUGUGUGUGUUUCUGGGGAUCUGACACGGGGUCUUGGCCUAUCACUGAUAUUAUAGCCCUAGACCCACUGAGUUAUAUCUCCAGUCCUGUUUUUAUUUUUUUCCUACUUUUCUUGAGCAGCUGGGAGUGUAGAUCUGAGCUACCUGCCACCACCACGCUUGUCUGAGAACUCCUUUUUAUUAAAUUUAAAGCUCUUCCAAUUAUUGAAGGAUCAAUUCAGAUAUAAACCACAGCAGAAUACUGCCGAAGCAGUGUGUUCUUCUGUUCGGUUAAAAAGGAAAAAGCAAAAAUACUUGGUGGAAGGGAUGGCUCAGUUCUGACCCUCAGCUAAGGUAAAUUCGAUUAGGCCAUGUUUUUUAAGGAACAUUUUUAUUUUCUGAGGUAACAUUUUUCUUAUCAGAUAUACCUCAGGACUAUGAACCAAUGGCAUAUGACAAAGAAAAAAAAAAAACUUAGUGGUUUUUUUUUUCCCUUUGGGGCACAUUAAAAAAUUAUAUUCCACUCUUUGUUUGGCUGGUUGAUUUUGGGAAGUGCUUCAAGGAGAAUUCCAGAUAAGAACACUUUUGCUAGAUCAAGCCAUCUUUACUUACAUUCUCCAUAGGAUGCAAGCUUACUGGCCUUUAUUCUACUUCUUCUUUGAGGGAUGAAACAUUUCGUCUGCUGGUGCUGCUUAAAAGUUGUCUAUUAGACAACCAGUCAGUGACCUGUCCUGUCUGCAGAAAGCCAGCUGAGAUCUGUAGUUCUGUCUCCAAGCAGGUGGGGAUACGGUUGUCCUUUCAAUGCAUUGGCUAGAAGCUCCCCCUGCCAAGAACUGAACGCUUUAAUUCUGUGAUUCAUCAAAGCCGUUCCUUAUACAUGGUGUCAAAUAACCUUUCUUUUCAGGAGGUCUAACCCAAUAGCCUCCCAGACCUCAGGAUGAAAGCAGGCAGCGUGUACACUGUGUGCAAGAAGGACAAAGAAGAAACACACUCAAAGCCGAGCCCCAUGUUACAUAAUGCCUGUGUUUGAAGAUCCAUGACCCAUAAAACAUUUACCUACUUUGUGGGGUUUAAAUAAAGCAGAGUGGUGUUCCUUUUUAAAGAACUAC